AUUGAACGCUGGCGGCAUGCCUUACACAUGCAAGUCGAACGGCAGCACGGGACCAAUCCUGGUGGCGAGUGGCGAACGGGUGAGUAAUGUAUCGGAACGUGCCCAGUCGUGGGGGAUAACGUAGCGAAAGCUACGCUAAUACCGCAUACGAUCUGUGGAUGAAAGCGGGGGACCGUAAGGCCUCGCGCGAUUGGAGCGGCCGAUAUCAGAUUAGGUAGUUGGUGGGGUAAAGGCCUACCAAGCCGACGAUCUGUAGCUGGUCUGAGAGGACGACCAGCCACACUGGGACUGAGACACGGUCCAGACUCCUACGGGAGGCAGCAGUGGGGAAUUUUGGACAAUGGGCGCAAGCCUGAUCCAGCAAUGCCGAGUGCAGGAUGAAGGCCUUCGGGUUGUAAACUGCUUUUGUACGGAGCGAAAAGGCUCUCUCUAAUACAGGGGGCUCAUGACGGUACCGUAAGAAUAAGCACCGGCUAACUACGUGCCAGCCGCCGCCGUAA
rnacentral:rRNA from 1 species